UACGAAGGGUGCAAACGUUGCUCGGAAUUAUUGGGCGUAAAGCGCACGUAGGCGGCUUAGCAAGUCGGAUGUGAAAGCCCUCGGCUCAACCAAGGAAGUGCAUCCGAAACUGCCCGACUAGAGGUAGGUAGGGGAGAUCGGAAUUCCUGGUGUAGCGGUGAAAUGCGCAGAUAUCAGGAGGAACACCGGUGGCGAAGGCGGAUCUCGUGGGCCUUACCUGACGCUCAGGUGCGAAAGCUAGGGGAGCGAACAGGA
rnacentral:rRNA from 1 species